UUGUUCAAGCUACAAAGGGCAUACGGUGAAUGCCUUGGCACUAACAAGCGAUGAAGGACGUGGCAAGCUGCGAUAAGCUUCGGUGAGCUGCUGGCAGGCUCUGACCCGAAGAUUUCCGAAUGGGGAAACCCGGCAUGAAGAAAUUCAUGUCACUAUGCACUGAAUUCAUAGGUGUAUAGAGCUGACCCGGGGAAGUGAAACAUCUCAGUACCCGGAGGAAAAGAAAUCAAUUGAGAUACCCCUAGUAGCGGCGAGCGAACGGGGUACAGGCCAAACCAGUUGUACAUGUACGGCUGGGGUUGUGGGGCUGCGAUAUGGGAUCAAGAAAAUUAGUGGAACGUUCUGGAAAGUUCGAGCAUAGAGGGUGAUACUCCCGUACACGAAAAUAGAAUUGACCUUAGCAUGUCCCCGAGUACCACAGGACACGUGAAAUCCGGUGGGAAUCAGGGUGGACCAUCAUCCAAGCCUAAAUAUUGUUAGUGACCGAUAGCGUAUAGUACCGUGAGGGAAAGGUGAAAAGUACCCCGAUGAGGGGAGUGAAAGAGUACCUGAAACCGUAUGUCUACAAUCGGUCGAAGAGCUAUGGCAAGUUUACUUGCAAUGCUCGACGGCGUACCUUUUGCAUCAUGGGUUGGCGAGUCAACGUUUGCAGCGAGAUUAAGCCGAGAAAGGUGUAGUCGAAGCGAAAGCGAGUCUGAAUAGGGCGCAUAGUUGCAGGCGUUGGACCCGAAGCCGGUCGAUCUACGCAUGGCCAGGUUGAAGCGUAGGUAAAACUACGUGGAGGACCGAACCCAUUCGAGUUGAAAAUCGUUGGGAUGAGUUGUGCGUAGGGGUGAAAGGCCAAUCAAGAUCGGUGAUAGCUGGUUCUCUCCGAAAGAUAUUUAGGUAUCGCCUCGAACGUUUAGUGUCGGAGGUAGAGCACUGACAGGACUAGGGCGCCCACCAGCGUACCAAACCCUAUCAAACUCCGAAUGCCGACAACUAUAGUUCGGGAGACAGGCUGCGGGUGAUAAGGUCCGUAGCCAAGAGGGAAACAGCCCAGACCAUCAGCUAAGGUCCCCAAGUUUUAGCUAAGUGGAGAAGGACGUGGAAGCGCAUAGACAACCAGGAGGUUGGCUUAGAAGCAGCAAUCCUUUAAAGAAAGCGUAAUAGCUCACUGGUCAAGUGAAUCUGCGCCGAAAAUGUAACGGGGCUAAAGUCUAUCACCGAAGCUACGAAUUGAGUAUAACCUCGGUUAUACUUUCUGGUAGAGGAGCGUUCCAUACUGGGUUGAAGCGGGAUCGUAAGGACUCGUGGACCGUAUGGAAGUGAGUAUGACGGCAUAAGUAACGAUAAAAUAGGUGAGAAACCUAUUCGCCGAAAAUCCAAGGUUUCCUGAGGAAGGGUAAUCCUCUCAGGGUAAGUCGGCCCCUAAGACGAGGCUGAGAAGCGUAGUCGAUGGGAAACAGGUUAAUAUUCCUGUACCGGUGGAUUUGUGUUUGAACGAUGGGGUAACGUAGAAGGGUAACUUAUCCGGGUGUUGGAUGUCCCGGUUUAA
rnacentral:rRNA from 1 species